GACGAACGCUGGCGGCGUGCCUAAUACAUGCAAGUAGAACGCUGAAGGAGGAGCUUGCUCUUCUGGAUGAGUUGCGAACGGGUGAGUAACGCGUAGGUAACCUGCCUGGUAGUGGGGGAUAACUAUUGGAAACGAUAGCUAAUACCGCAUAAUAACAGUUGUUGCAUGACAACUGUUUGAAAGGUGCAAUUGCAUCACUACCAGAUGGACCUGCGUUGUAUUAGCUAGUUGGUGGGGUAACGGCUCACCAAGGCGACGAUACAUAGCCGACCUGAGAGGGUGAUCGGCCACACUGGGACUGAGACACGGCCCAGACUCCUACGGGAGGCAGCAGUAGGGAAUCUUCGGCAAUGGACGAAAGUCUGACCGAGCAACGCCGCGGGAGUGAAGAAGGUUUUCGGAUCGUAAAGCUCUGUUGUAAGAGAAGAACGAGUGUGAGAGUGGAAAGUUCACACUGUGACGGUAUCUUACCAGAAAGAGACGGCUAACUACGUG
rnacentral:rRNA from 1 species